UUGCCUCAGUACGGCGAGUGAAGCGGCAAAAGCUCAAAUUUGAAAUCCUUCGGGAAUUGUAUUUUGAAAAAGAAAGAAAACCCCCAAAAGCUACCUUAAGUCUAUUGGAAAAUGGCGCCACAGAGGGUGAUAGCCCCGUAAAGAUUAGCAAAGGGUAUAUUUUCUCUCUUUAAAGAGUCGAGUUGUUUGGGAAUGCAGCUCUAAGUGGGUGGUAAAUUCCAUCUAAAGCUAAAUAUUGGCGAGAGACCGAUAGCGAACAAGUACAGUGAUGGAAAGAUGAAAAGCACUUUGAAAAGAGAGUGAAAAAGUACGUGAAAUUGUUGAAAGGGAAGGGCUUGCAAGCAGACACAACUUAUGUUGGGCCAGCAUCGGGGAGAGAGGAGGCAAAAAUGGAAAGAAAUGUAGCUUCGGUGUUAUAGUCUUCCCUUAUACCUCCCCCUCUUCCCGAGGCCUGCGUAUCUAGGAUGCUGGCGUAAUGGUUGCAAGUCGCCCGUCUUGAACCCACGGGACAAACAAC
rnacentral:rRNA from 1 species